rnacentral:rRNA from 1 species
CGGGGGGCAGCAGUGGGGAAUCUUGCGCAAUGGGCGAAAGCCUGACGCAGCAACGCCGCGUGCGGGAAGAAGGCCUUCGGGUUGUAAACCGCUUUCAGCAGGAACGAAAAUGACGGUACCUGCAGAAGAAGGUGCGGCCAACUAUGUGCCAGCAGCCGCGGUGAUACAUAGGCACCAAGCGUUGUCCGGAUUUAUUGGGCGUAAAGAGCUCGUAGGCGGUUCAGUCAGUCGGGUGUGAAAACUCUGGGCUUAACCCAGAGCCUGCACCCGAUACUGCUGUGACUAGAGUUCGGUAGGGGAGCGGGGAAUUCCUGGUGUAGCGGUGAAAUGCGCAGAUAUCAGGAGGAACACCGAUGGCGAAGGCACCGCUCUGGGCCGAAACUGACGCUGAGGAGCGAAAGCAUGGGUAGCAAACAGGAUUAGAUACCCGAGU